rnacentral:rRNA from 1 species
UACGUAGGGUGCGAGCGUUAAUCGGAAUUACUGGGCGUAAAGCGUGCGCAGGCGGUUUGUAAGCCAGGUGUGAAAUCCCCGGGCUCAACCUGGGAAUGGCAUUUGGGACUGCAAGGCUGGAGUGCGGCAGAGGAGACUGGAAUUCCUGGUGUAGCAGUGAAAUGCGUAGAUAUCAGGAGGAACACCGAUGGCGAAGGCAGGAUCUCGUGGGCUGGACACUGACGCUCAUGCACGAAAGC